rnacentral:rRNA from 15 species
UUAAUUCGAAGCAACGCGAAGAACCUUACCUGGGCUUGACAUGUAUGGAUUAGCUCUUGGAAACAUGAGUGACGCCCUUUGGGUGGAACAUACACAGGUGCUGCAUGGCUGUCGUCAGCUCGUGCUGUGAAGUGUCGGGUUAAGUCCCUUAACGAGCGCAACCCUUAUCGCUAGUUGCCAGCGCGUCAUGGCGGGGGCUCUAG